AAGAGCUUCUAUGAUUCAAAGUUGCAUUGCAGUGCAUUGAUCACUGAAGCAAACGGAAUCUGUUGAAAUNCUAUGGUUAAAGUGAUUUUGUUUUUUUCUGCUGAGCAAUGAAGUGUGUAUUCUGUGAUGGUGAUGCUAUAUUACCAUAUGAACAGUAACUGGCAUAACUCAAUNGAAGUGUAGCAUUAGUAUACACUGCCAGAGAACACAUA
rnacentral:lncRNA from 1 species